UUGUCUGGCGGCCAUAGCGCAGUGGAACCACCCCUUCCCAUCUCGAACAGGACCGUGAAACGCUGCAGCGCCUAUGAUAGUUGAGGGUCUCCCUCCGCGAAAGUCGGUCACCGCCAGACAC
rnacentral:rRNA from 1 species